UACGGGGGGGGCAAGCGUUGUUCGGAAUUACUGGGCGUAAAGGGCUCGUAGGCGGCCAACUAAGUCGGAUGUGAAAUCCCUAGGCUUAACCUGGGAACUGCAUCCGAUACUGGAUGGCUUGAAUCCGGGAGAGGGAUGCGGAAUUCCAGGUGUAGCGGUGAAAUGCGUAGAUAUCUGGAGGAACACCGGUGGCGAAGGCGGCAUCCUGGACCGGCAUUGACGCUGAGGAGCGAAAGCCAGGGGAGCAAACGGG
rnacentral:rRNA from 1 species